rnacentral:rRNA from 1 species
GACGAACCGUGCGAACGUUGUUCGGAAUCACUGGGCUUAAAGGGCGCGUAGGCGGGCAGGCAAGUCUGGGGUGAAAUCUUUCGGCUUAACCGGAAAAGUGCCUUGGAUACUGCUUGUCUCGAGGGAGGUAGGGGCAGAUGGAACUUCCGGUGGAGCGGUGAAAUGCGUUGAUAUCGGAAGGAACGCCGGUGGCGAAAGCGAUCUGCUGGAUCUCUUCUGACGCUGAUGCGCGAAAGCUAGGGGAGCAAACGGG